CAUCUAAAAUGUAUUAGCUGGAUCCAUUAUACCACUUGGUUCUUACUCAGCGUGAUAAUUGUCAUUCGCUGAGGACACUUCAUUUAAUUUUGAGGUGGCCAGGCAUUUUAGUGGUUUAUCUGCUUCUAACCGUCUCUUAGUAGACAAACUAUUUUUAUGAAUCUGAUCUCAAAUCAGGUAGGACUACCCGCUGAACUUAA
rnacentral:misc_RNA from 1 species